rnacentral:rRNA from 1 species
CGCUGAAUUUAAGCAUAUAAGUAGGCGGAGGAGAAGGCACAAAUUGGGGUUCCUCAAUUAGUUGCGAAUGAAAGAGAGAGGACUUCAGCUUGAUAUCCAAAGGCUCUGCCUUUGACAUGAAGAUUCGACAGUGUGCCAAAGGGAGCGUGGUGGAAAGUGGAUACUGUCUUGGAAGAGGGGUGUAAAAAUGGCAACGAGGGUGAUAAACCUUUGACACUUAAUAUGUCUUCCUGCACGGCACCUUGUCUAGACUCAUGCUCUUUGAAAGUGGAGUGCAAAGUGGGUGGUAAAUCUCACUCAAAGACAGAUACAACACUGGGGCCGACAGCGCACAAGUACCGUGAGGGAAGCGUGAAAAGGACUUUGGAAAGAGAAUUAAAGGAGCCUGAACUUGCUGAAGAGCAAGCAUACAGGGUGGGAGAGUUUGGAGAGAUUUCCUUGCACGACCAUGCUUGUGGUCACCUCCUGUGCAAAGGUUUUUGUGGUGCAUACUGGCAUGAUGUGUGUGUGUGUGUGUCUCUUCUUGGAUGACAAUCAAAGACACCUGCAGUCAAUGGCAACUGGUGGUAGUGUGCCAAUUUGUCGUGUGGCUUUUGCCGCUCAGAUUCUGCACGUGUUUGGGGCAUGGUUGGGGGGGGGGGGUGGUGGUGCCACAGCUGAGUGUGAAAGGGCAUGGGGGUGGUGAUGCCUCAGUGUGUGCGAAGGUAAGACCUGCCCGGCUGCACAUCUACUGUCAACCUCCGCCUGUGUGACCCGUCUUGAAACACGGACCAAGGAGUCUAACAACUCCGCAGGGUGUGUGUUUGUGUGUUGUACAACUCUGCGCCAAUGAAAGUGGAGUCCCAGACCUGUGCAUGAGUGUUCCACCAAUCAUGAGGUUGAGGUUUGAGUCUGAGCGUGGCUGUUAGGACCCGAAAGAUGGUGAACUAUGCCUGGCAAGGGUCAAGGCAGGGGAAACUCUGAUGGAGGCUCGCAGCGUUACUGACGUCAAAUGUUCGU